rnacentral:rRNA from 1 species
GACAGAGGAUGCAAGCGUUAUCCGGAAUGAUUGGGCGUAAAGCGUCUGUAGGUGGCUUUUUAAGUCUGCCGUCAAAUCCCAGGGCUCAACCCUGGACAGGCGGUGGAAACUACCAAGCUAGAGUACGGUAGGGGCAGAGGGAAUUUCCGGUGGAGCGGUGAAAUGCGUAGAGAUCGGAAAGAACACCAACGGCGAAGGCACUCUGCUGGGCCGACACUGACACUGAGGGACGAAAGCUAGGGGAGCGAAUGGG